CGUGGCAGCCCUAACAUGACAUGGAUAUUUGAACUUUGUGACAUGGUGUGUUAUCCUGCUUGAAGAUGAGUGCACUUUGGUCAUAAAGGGACACACAUGGUGAGCAACAAUACUCAGAUUGAUCUGUUUAAGCAUCUGCGAGCGUUGUUCCAUCACCAGGGUCUUCUCGUAAGUGUAGGCUGAGAUGUCACUGUCAUGCUAAGAAAAGCAUCGAUACGGAGGUGAUAGAGGAAUGUGGUCAGGUCCUUUUUCAUCUGGAUGCUGUUGUCGUCCAUCUGGGCCACAGUGAAGAUGCGCAUCUUGCACUUCCUCCAAACCUGCAGAGCAACAACAAAAUAUGAGGCAUCUCCUCACUCUUCUCCUACGUCUGUAUGGACAAUAAAAAAAAUUUCAUUAAGCGUUCAUACCAUAUCAAGCGUUCAAAGGAAAGGUUACCUUGUGCUGGCGGAGCAGGAAGGGCAGCAGCAUCAGCAUGCCUCCAUCAUGGACGAUCCACCAGACGUCAAUGUGACCCUCUGUGAAGCGUUCGCCGUUGGAUGGGAAGGCUGAGAUGUUC